rnacentral:rRNA from 1 species
GACGAACGCUGGCGGCGUGCUUAACACAUGCAAGUCGAACGAAGUGGCGAACGGGUGAGUAACGCGUAAACAACCUGCCCUUCAGAGGGGGACAACAGUUGGAAACGACUGCUAAUACCGCAUACCGAAGGAGGGGAUUGCGCCUGAUUAGCUAGUUGGAGGGGUAACGGCCCACCAAGGUGAUGUUCAGUAGCCGGUCGGUGCGGAUGGACGGCCACAUUGGGGCUGGGAAACGGCCCGGCCUCCUACGGGAGGCAGCAGUGGGGAAUCUUCCGCAAUGGACGUAAGUCUGACCGAGCAACGCCGCGUGAGUGAAGAAGGUUUUCGAAUCGUAAAACUCUGUUGUUAGAGAAGCGGUAUCUAACCAGAAAGCCACGGCUAACUACGUGCCAGCAGCCGCAGUAAUAC